GACUCCAAAGGUCUACCGAUUUCCAGUAAACUGUUUCUGAGAGGAAUGAUCAGUUCACCCUGGACUGAGACCGGUUGCAGACUCCUACGGAGGCAGCAGUGAGGAAUAUUGGGCAUGCUCGAAAGAGUGACCCAGCAUCGCCGCGUGGAGGAUGAGUAUUCUAUAUCGUAAACUCCUGUGAGAGCAGACGAAAGACAGAUAUAUCUGGAUGACUGUAUGCUCAGAGGAAGCCCCGGCUAACUACGUGCCAGCAGCCGCGGUAAUACGUAGGGGGCUAGCGUUGUCCGGAUUCACUGGGUGUAAAGGGCGCGUAGGCGGGAUAGCAAGUCAGUGGUGAAAUCUUGCAGCUCAACUGCAAAACUGCCAUUGAUACUGCUGUUCUUGAAUGUGGAAGGGAGAGGCGGAAUUCCAGGUGUAGUAGUGAAAUACGUAGAUAUCUGGAAGAACACCAAUUGCGAAGGCUGCUUCUUGGUCCAUUAUUGACGCUGAGGCGCGAAAGCGUGGGGAGCAAACAGGAUUAGAUACCCUGGUAGUCCACGCUGUAAACGAUGAGUGCUAGAUGCCGGAUUUUUUCGGUGUCGCAGCUAACGCAUUAAGCACUCCACCUGGGAAGUACGAUCGCAAGGUUGAAACUCAAAGGAAUUGACGGGGGCCCGCACAAGCAGUGGAGCAUGUGGUUUAAUUCGAUGCAACGCGAAGAACCUUACCUAGGCUUGAAAAGCUUAUGACCGGCUGUGAAAGCAGCUUUCCCGCAAGGGCAUAAGUACAGGUGCUGCAUGGCUGUCGUCAGCUCGUGCCGUGAGGUGUUGGGUUAAGUCCCGCAACGAGCGCAACCCUUACCAUUAGUUGCCACCGGAGCAAUCCGAGCACUCUAAUGGAACUGCCUACGCAAGUAGUGAGGAAGGUGAGGAUGACGUCAAGUCCGCAUGGCCCUUACGCCUAGGGCUACACACGUGCUACAAUGGCCGCCACAACGGGCAGCAAAAUCGCGAGAUGGAGCGAAUCCCUAAAAAGCGGCCUCAGUUCGGAUUGGAGUCUGCAACUCGACUCCAUGAAGUUGGAAUUGCUAGUAAUCGCGUAUCAGCAUGACGCGGUGAAUACGUUCCCGGGCCUUGUACACACCGCCCGUCAAGCCAUGGAAGCCGGGGGUACCCAAAGAUAGUGACUCAACCGCAAGGAGAGAGCUAUUUAAGGUAAAACUGGUGACUGGGGCUAAGUCGUAACAAGGUAGC
rnacentral:rRNA from 1 species